rnacentral:misc_RNA from 1 species
GGGGUUGAAGGACUCGAUGCGACCGCCAUAGAUCUGGCAGAAGACUUUGAUUUCAGAAGUGAGUCUGUUGUUACAUAUUCUCUUCACCUUGAGAAGAAACACGAUGCUCUUCUUGAUGAGCUUUUUGAAGCUGGGACCUACAAGAAGCUCUAUAGCUAUCGCCAUCUCAUUAAUGGAUUUUCUGUUCAUUUGUCUCCUGAGCAGGCAGAGGCUCUGAGCAGAUCCCCUAAGGUGAAAUAUCUCGAGAAAGAUAUGAAGGUAAGGAAGUUCACCACACACACUCCACAGUUCUUGGGGCUACCAACAGGAGUAUGGCCGACUGGAGGUGGAUUCGACAGAGCAGGAGAAGACAUUGUGAUCGGCUUUGUGGACUCGGGAAUAUAUCCAAAGCAUCCAAGCUUUUCUGCACACAACUCUGAGCCAUAUUCACCGCUUCCUCAUUACACCGGCAAGUGCGAGAUUGAUCCAGAUACUAAGAGGGACUUCUGUAACGGGAAGAUAAUCGGCGCCCAGCAUUUCGCAAAAGCUGCAAUUGCCGCAGGAGCUUUCAACCCUGUUGUUGACUUUGCUUCGCCGAUGGAUGGUGAUGGGCACGGAAGUCAUACAGCAUCAAUAGCUGCAGGAAAUAAUGGUAUUCCUGUG